UCUUAUCGUGCCCCUUCUCCCACUGUCUCCCACGGCUUGUAAUGUACAUCGUUUCCGUCGUCCUGCAUAUGGGCGGAGAGAUAGGGUUUGGUUCGUCUUCCUUCCGAUCGAUCAACGCUUCGCCUUUUGCUUCGAUCCGUUGGAGAGGAUCCGAAGAGCGGCUCAUGCUGGAUCCAGGUACACCAGCAACGCUGUCAAGGAACGUGUUCCAUCCUACACUGCUGGCUCAGCAUCAACCUUGUUGAAUCUGUAGAAACCAUGUACCAAAUUUUCAUGCAUGACUGUAAUAGGUGCAGUCAUACAUGACUAGAAGCAUGGUCCCAUUUACUAGUCCAUAGAGGCAUGGAUAUCAAAGAGACCGGAGAUGCUGAUUUGUUCAAGAGUUAUCUCCAAGACUAUGUCAAAACAAUCAGUGGCUGCCAUCACAUCAGCAUCUUCCUCCAUUUUCCUAGACACGAGCAAUCAAGCCAGGCCACAAGCAUGUGGGAGCAGCUGAGCUAUGCUUCAGCAGCUGCAUGGUAAAAUAGUUGACAUGAAUUCAGAAAUUGUUCGCCGAUGUGUUAUGGUAUCUUUCCUAUUGAAGCUAUAUGGUACAUUCCUUGAAGCACAAACAUUCACCAGUGGCCGGACUUCCGAUCCUCUUUAUAUAGCAUUUCAUGUGUCACGUUGAAUCAGGUUAUAGGCAAACGCAGGUCACACCUGAACUCCUGUCUACCGCUAGUAAACUUGAACAAGGUUCCAAGUUCACGCAUGGCUUGGAAUAGAACAGGUGUUUAAAUAGGUGCUCGAGCACUCGCCUAGGUGCUUGAGUGAGGUGAGGCGAGGCUCGAGCGACGUGCUUCAAUGAAGCAUCACCUAGACGCUUGCCUGAACCUAGGUGCCAGGCAUCUUGGGUGAGCUCCCAAUUGAAAUCAUGCAAUCGUUCGGUUUAACAGUAGCUAAUUAGUUCAAUUGAACCAAUUAAGCUAUAUAAAGUUAUUUUACUUGUAAAACCCACCCCUUGUCGAUGAAUGAAUCCAAAGGUGUAGCUUUCGUGCAUAGUUCUUCUUGUCGUCAUUGCUUUUGUGUGCAACUUCUUCUACCAUUGAGAGGGAGGAUUGU